rnacentral:rRNA from 1 species
UACGGGGGGGGGCAAGCGUUGUUCGGAAUUACUGGGCGUAAAGGGCUCGUAGGCGGCCAACUAAGUCAGACGUGAAAUCCCCAGGCUCAACCUGGGAACUGCGUCUGAUACUGGAAGGCUUGAAUCCGGGAGAGGGAUGCGGAAUUCCAGGUGUAGCGGUGAAAUGCGUAGAUAUCUGGAGGAAUACCGGUGGCGAAGGCGGCAUCCUGGACCGACAUUGACGCUGAUGAGCGAAAGCUAGGGGAGCAAACGGG